UUUUGGGAGUCCCUGCUGUGUGCUGGGAAUCAUAUUAGAUACCAGAGAUGAGUACAAGAUACAGUUCCUACAGUUCCUGCAAUUUAGGAGCUUGACAUGGAGACAUCCCCAUCCCAAUCCAUGGCCCCUCUUCAGAUGUUCAGAUUUCUGGCCACACGACAUUCUAUUCAAUGACCAUGCAGCCUGGUGUCACUCGCUGCCCCUGCUCUGCACCCGCCUGCCACCAGAUAUCAGAGUUUUGUCAGGCCUCUGAGCCGAAGCUCGGCCAUUAUAACCCCUGUGACCUGCACAUAUCCGUCUAGAUGGCCUGCAGGAGCCAAGAAGUCUGGAGCAGCCAAAGAAAAACUACAAAGAAGUAAAACAGCCAGUCCCUGCCUUAACUGAGUAAAAUUACAAUAUUUUACUAUCGUGACUUGUCCCUGCCCUAUCUUAGUUGAUCAUUUGACUUUGUGACAUUCUUCUUCUGGACAAUAAGUCUUAUGAUCUCUCCACCAUGUACCUUGCAACCCUCUCCUCUGCUAACAGUAAAUAACUACCUUUUAUUGUAAUUUUCCAUUACCUACCCAACUCCUAUAAAGCAACCGCUUCCCCAUCUCCCUUCGCUGACUGUCUUUUCGGACUCAGCCCACUUGCACCCAAGUGAAUAAACAGCUUUAUUGCUC
rnacentral:lncRNA from 1 species